ACUGCCCAGCACCCAGCAAUGCCCAGGUGCAGAAUGGGGAUGGCCACCACGGGCCAGCAUGAGGAACUGGGAGGGAAAAUCAGCCAGUGACAUUCAGGGAGGUGGUUUAGCUUCACUGGUUUAAUCAAGAGCUUCAGAGCUGAACGUGCAAAAAUGAUGUGCUGCAUUUUACUGAGAAAAUAAGAGAUCUGAUCAGAAGAUCUGUUUUCUUUAUCACCACUUAUUGCCCUGAUGAUGACGAUGUGUGCAGAUGGUAAGAAACAGAAGAGUUUCACAUAGAGGGCACUGAGAUUACCUAUGAUUACCUAGAUUAACAGCUAAAUAAGUGUCUCUCUAUAAAUGUUAACAAUUUACACCUUUUGAAUUGCAGUUGUACAAG